rnacentral:rRNA from 1 species
UACGUAGGGGGCGAGCGUUGUCCGGAAUUAUUGGGCGUAAAGAGCUCGUAGGCGGUUUGUCGCGUCUGCUGUGAAAAACUGGAGGCUCAACCUCCAGCCUGCAGUGGGUACGGGCAGACUAGAGUGCGGUAGGGGAGAUUGGAAUUCCUGGUGUAGCGGUGGAAUGCGCAGAUAUCAGGAGGAACACCGAUGGCGAAGGCAGAUCUCUGGGCCGUAACUGACGCUGAGGAGCGAAAGCAUGGGGAGCGAACAGG